GCGCCGGUAGCUCAGUUGGUAGAGCAAGGGACUCUUAAUCCCUGGGUCCUCGGUUCAAGUCCGAGUCGGCGUAC
rnacentral:tRNA from 2 species